rnacentral:rRNA from 1 species
AUGGGUGGUGAGAUGACACCAGGUCUAGAAGGGGUGGAGGGUAGGCUGAAGAAUCUGAAGCUCUCGGAGGCGGAGAAGAGGGGCAUCAAAAUUGGUAAGAAGCAGACCUGCUCCUCGAAGGUGAGCAUGUUUCAAGCAGUGGGUAAGCUCCUCUCAGAUAGGCCUGCAAAAGCAGAGUACGUGGGAAGAACAUUAGGAGGAGUUUGGAGCCCCUUUUCUGGUGUGGAUUGUAAAGACCUUGGCAGAAAUCGUUUCCUUUUCACAUUCCAUGAUGGAGCUAGUAAAGAUAGGGCUCUGAAUGAUAGACCAUGGAGGUUCAAUAAGGAUCUAUUGGUGAUGGAAGACUUUGUGCCAAGUAAAACCAUCGAUGAGUAUCAAUUCAAAAUGAUACCAAUCUGGGUGAGAGUCCAUGGCAUUCCCAUGGGCGUGAUGAGUAGAGAAACAGGGGAGUUGGUAGGAAAUAAGUUAGGGACCUUUUUGGAUGUUGACCUGGAUGAUAAUGGGUAUGCUAUUGGGCAGUUUAUCAGGAUAAAGGUGAGAAUGGACAUAACAAUACCAAUCAUGAGGUUCAGCACCUUAGAAAUGGAAGAUGAUGAAGAUCCGACACAUGAGGAAGCAAUGAGAGGAGAAGAAAAGGGAAAGGAAGAAGAGGAAGAGAAGCAAAAGCUCAUUUCAUUUGAAUAUGAACAUCUUCCAGAUUUCUGUUAUAAGUGUGGCAUUAUCGGUCAUACAGAAAAGAUAUGCCCAACAAGAAAAGGGGGACAAGAUGGGAGGCAAUUUGGUCCAUGGCUCCGAGCAAUGAGCUAUAAAAAUUACUCAAGUGAUGGGAAGAGCGGAAGCUCAAGUGACCAUGGAGGUUUUUGGACAAACAACACAGGAAGUAUGGGUAAUAAGCAAGGGAGUGAUGGACCGUCUUGGAGGAAGAGCUUGCCAAGCCAAAGGGAUGUAGGUAUGCCAUCAAAUGGGGAGGAAAAAGAAGCCAUGAGCCCUAUGAAAGUAAAUACAGAGGACCAGCUGGGGUCGAUGAGAGAAACUCCCGUCAACUUACUGGAUGACAAAGACAUUUUACAUCAAAGAGAGAAGGUGCAGAUUAGGGAAGAGAAUAACUCCCAAACGUCAGGAAAAAGUGUAAAACAGGGCACUUUCAAGAGAAUAGCAAGAGCAAAGGACAAACAACAACAACAACAAGCACAACCAUCCAAGAUUGAACAGAAGAAGAGGAACACUGACCUCAUGGGAGUGGACCUGGGGACAGGCCUAGUGAAAAAAUCCAGAUGGAAGUUGACGAGGAAGGAAACGGAAAAGGCAUAA